AUGUGGCAGGAGUUUUGGAGCCAAUAUGAGACUGCUAUUCACAACAAUGAUUCACUGUGUAAUAAGGAGAAGUUUAUCUAUCUGAAAACAUAUCUCACUGGACCAGCUGCAAAGGCAGUAGCAGGACUGAUGUUAACAGACAGUAACUAUGAUAAUGCAAUCACUCUACUCAAGAGCAGAUUUGGAAGGAAAGAUCUUGUGAUUAGUGCUCAUAUGUCAAAGCUGCUGAAUCUCACACCUGUGAAGAAAUCCUCUGAUCUAAAUGCAUUGAGGCAGCUAUAUGAUGAAUGUGAAAUUCAGAUUAGGAGCUUGGAAUCACUAGGUGUAGUGUCAGAAACCUAUGGAAGCCUACUAUGCGCAAUCUUACUACAGAUGAUUCCAGAGGACAUAGCUCUUGACUAUAGUCGUCAGAGGGGAGUAGAUGAUGAAUGGAAAGUGUCUGAGAUUAUCAGUUUCCUACAGAAAGAGGUUCAGAGCAGGGAGAGAGCGCUACAAAUGACAAGAUCAUACAACCAACAGAAAGAGAGCAAACCAUGGAACAAGUCAUGCUUCUCCAAUGAAAUGAAACCAAAAAGACCCAACAUGCCCUCUGCUGCAGCACUGCAUACAGCCAGCCAGAAGGAACAACAAACGUGUCUAUUUUGUGACAGUGCAGACCACAAAUCAGAAAACUGCCCUGACUACAAUAUUGCUACACGCAAAGAGAAACUAAAGAACAUGGGAAGAUGCUUUGUAUGUUUAGGACAGAGACACAUAGCAAAAUUCUGUAAAGUCAAAGAUGUGUCAUGUGCAACAUGUGGAAGCAGACAUCACAUUGCUGUGUGUACUAGUAAGAGGAGUGAGGUGCAACCCCCUACUGUUUCUGUAGAUGCUGUUGUUUCCUCAGUUAUUCCCCAUUCAGUGAAGAUGAAACCAGAUGGACAGAACACUGUGUUGCUACAAACGGCAAAGGCAUGGGUAGAAGGCCCAUCGGGCAGGAAGAUAGCUUGUUGCUUACUAGAUGGAGGCAGUCAGAGAAGCUUCAUACAUGAAAACCUUGUGAAGGGCUUGAAGCUACCAGUAAUCAGACAAGAGGCACUCACUCUUCACACGUUUGGCUCCUCUGCCCCAGCAACGUCCCAACGCAACACAGUGAAAGUCAUCUUGGAGAAUGUCUGGGACAAACAGCAGAGAAUAGAGAUGGAGGCAAUUGAAACCCCACAAGUGUGCACAGCUGUGAUGAAGGUUCCUGGUGAACGGAUUCAGCAUGAGCUCAGUAAAAGGGGACUGCAGCUCGCAGACUUUCCAGGAGAUGACAAUGAUCCUGAACUCUCUGUCCUGAUAGGAGCAGACUACUACUGGCAGAUAGUAUCAGGCAGAGGGGAGCGACUGACGGAGACGCUAGUUGCUUUAGAGAGCACCUUUGGAUGGUCGGUGCAGGGACCCGUGUCCAUGUCAAGUGUCGCCGAGGCAACCUGCAUUUUCAUCCCACUUGAUGAAGACACACUAGUCUCCAAGCAACUGAAUGCAUUCUGGGAGCUUGAGUCUCUGGGUAUUCUAAGCGAGAAAACACAGAACCCAGAGGAAAACGAGGCUCUACAAAGGUUCGAGGAAACAACCACCUUCAAAGAUGGGCGAUACCAUGUGGAGUUGCCAUGGAAACGAGAAAUGCCAGAACUCCAAAACAACUAUAGAAUCGCCAAGAAACGGUUUGAAGGUCUGAAGAAAAGACUGAAGAAGGAUGUGACGUUGUACAGCAGAUACAAUGAAGUAGUAGAGGACUACUUACAACAAGAUAUGGCAGAGGACGUGCCCAAGGACAACACAUCAAGUGCAGACAACGUAAAAUACUACUUACCUCACCAUGCAGUGCUCCGAGAAGAUAAGGUGACAACAAAACUGAGAGUGGUGUUUGAUGCCUCGUCCCAUGAAGAUGGCUGUCCAUCCCUCAAUGACUGUCUACUCACAGGACCGAACCUGAAUCCGGAUCUGCUCAGCGUUCUGAUAAAGUUCAGACUACAUGAGAUCGCAUUCAUGGCAGACAUCAAGAAAGCAUUCCUGCAGAUAUCCCUAGCAGAGAGAGACCGAGACGCCGUGAGAUUUCUAUGGCUCACUGGCCCACCAAGGGGAGAAAAUGAAGAGGAGCUGCGUGUGCUGAGGAUGAAAAGAGUGGUAUUUGGAGCUUCCCCAAGUCCAUUUUUGCUGGCAGCUACAAUCAGGAAGCACCUGAAACAAUAUGAAACAGAACAACCAGAAGCUGUAGAGAUACUGAGAGAGUCACUCUACGUAGAUGACUUCAUUGCAAGUUCGCGCAAUGUUGAAGAGGCUUACCUUGUGACAACAACUGCAAAGCGAAUGCUGUCGAUUGCAGGCAUGGACCUCUGCAAAUGGAUGACCAAUUCUCCUGAAUUGAAAACAAAAUGGGAGGAGAGUACGACAACUGACCACCCGUUGACGUCACAAACACAAGGAUUAGUGCUGAAGGUUUUAGGUUUAGUAUGGAGGCCGGAAACGGAUGAAUUUUUGUUUGACCUCAGGCCGUUACUGAGCAUUCUAAAGCAAAAGGAAAACACAAAGAGAAGUGUUCUGUAG
rnacentral:lncRNA from 13 species